AUGAAGGUCUCACACUGCGGGCAAAAUUGUGCGUCAACCGACGAUGCAAAUGGACAAGGCGAUACCACUCAGACAGAGCAGUGUUCAGAGCCAUAUCUUCCCGAGGUACGUCCACAUGGUGUACAUCUCUGCAACAUUGGUGCACUUGGUGCAACCAUGCGCAUGUAUCUUACAUUGCUCAUGUUUAACUUCCCCUCAUGCUUGUGCUUGCAGGACAUCUGGCAUCAUAUACAUUCCUUGAUGCCACUGAAAGAUGCUGCCAGAGCUGCCUGUGUGUCUCAGUCCUUCCUGUCUUCCUGGAGAUGCCGUUCCAACCUCGUUCUUAGUAGGGAAUCAUUUGGCUUGGGUCAAGGUGAAAAGGAAACAGCUAGAGAUUUUAGAAGAAAAAUUGACCAUAUUCUGAGAAACCACUCAGGAACUGGCGUGAGAAAACUCAACCUUUGGUUGGUUCCAAAUUACAAUGCGAAGAACCGUGGUUACGUUGACAAAUGGCUUGAGAAGGCAGUUACACCAGGGAUUGAAGAACUCACCCUUACCUUGCUUGGUUGUUUGAGAAGCUUGACCAAAUUAGAGCUGUUUAUGGUGCGUAUUCCAGGGGAUGAGCUAUGCUGCCUUCUUUCUAGUUCUUCAGCUUUAGAGUGGCUUUCACUUAGGUAUUGCAGUAAGGUAAACUGCUUGAAGAUACCAUGUCACCUUCAGCAUCUAAGGCACGUGAAGGUGGAAGAUUGCAGCAUGCGAAUGAUAGAGAGCAAAGCUCCAAAUCUCUCCAGCUUUCAGUUUAAAGCUGACCUCAAGGUACAAGUCUCACUUGGAAAAGCAUUGCAAGUGAAGAGCUUAUACAUGAGGAGCACCAUAUUUGGUUGUGACACUCGAGCAGAGCUGGCGCCAGCAUGCCAAGCAGGGAGGUAUGCUCUAAAACUGGUGGUGGUCAAUUCACCAAUUGUGUCUAGGAAACUCACCGACCUGAAAUCUAUGAUCAUCUGUCUUGGAGAAAUGGCCUUUUGCCCGAGCUUUGAUUGUCCGUCUAUGUUUUCUAUCCUUGGUGCUUCUCUUACGUUGGAGACUUUCAUCUCACGUGGCCUGGUUGAUUUAAACAUGUCCCUGUUCUGGGAGUGCAAGGACUGUCACGGGGACAUGUCCUCGAAGGUCAGGGUUAGUCCGUCCUGGAGGCUCGACCUCACUAGAGGUGAAACCUUCGCAACCCCAAAGCCUGAGGUGUCCAAAGGGAACCUUAGUCAGGGAAGAGGGGGAGGGAGAUGGAGGAGCUACCUGUCGCGGUCGCAAUGUAAGCAGAGGAGCAGACCCCUCCUGCCCCUCCCCCACGAGCAGGACAUGGCUGCCGGCUGGGCACGCCCCUACUCCUCCGCCUCCUUGAUCAGGAGACCCCCUUCCCCUACUGCUGCUUGGCGCGCCACAUCACUAGUCACCUCCUCAUGCAGGAAGUACACAAUAAAUAGACAGACGGUCAGUGAGUUGAAACUUAUAGAAAGAUUAAGCACUUUCAACUACCAGAUCUAG
rnacentral:rRNA from 1 species